rnacentral:lncRNA from 1 species
UUUUUGUUGAGAUAGGUUAGAAACUUUCAUUAAAACAUAUACCUCUUCGAUCUGAUCGAAGAAUCUUAAAGAUUUUUUAAUUUUCAUUCUUUACCUCAUAUUUGAAUUCUUUAAAUUUUUGAAGGCUUUAGAUUUGUGUCUCAUACAUAUACCCAUACCGUGAGAGGUCAUCAAUAAAGACGGUGAAGUAAAGAGAAUCACCUCUGGCC